rfam:Bombyx mori DNA, contig: Bm_scaf91_contig34464, strain: p50T/Dazao, build 2, whole genome shotgun sequence.
CUAACUCAAAUUUGUAUGGAGUUAGAACGUUUGCCUACGUUUGCCGCUAGGGGCGCUGUUCAAGCUCCAUACAAAUUUGAAUUC